rnacentral:lncRNA from 1 species
AAUGCAACAGUCCUACAUGAAAUAAUCUAGACUCAAUACUAAUAUGCAAAUGCAAGAUACAUGAUCACUCUGUUUUUAAAGAUUUUUUUUUUCUGAAAAUUUUUCAAAUUAAUAGGGGUUUUCAAAGCACAUAUAUGAAUGCAGAUUGUAUGCUAAAAAUGCGAAAUAAGAAAAGAGAACACAACAUUAAAUGUCAUUCCAAACUGUCCCCCAAACUUAAAUUACACAGUCCCUUGUGUAAUAAAAAUUUGAGAGCUGGUUUGAGAAUCAAACAAACAAAAGUAUGAAAAUGC